CUGUUAAACGCGUCAGUCCUUAGGGUUUCUUAAGAUUAAACAUUAUGUUUUGUGAAAGUCAAAGCUAAAAAGUCCACACAUAAUUAGUAAAGCUGUUGUUAAUGGGUUUUGUAGAUGGAAUAAUGUGUGAUUGUGUACAUUUUCUUUACAGGUUCACCACAUUUAUAGUGCUUUUUUUUUGGUGCCUGGCUGACAUAUAAAAUCACCAUCCACUUUCAACAGCAGCUCAGAUGUUCUGCAAAAAUUUUCCUUGUGUUCCCCAAAAGAAAAAAGGUUCACACACACACACCAGGAGGGAUCUGAAGCCCACACGACACAGACACCUCAACCGAAUGUAAAACAAACACUCUCGAUUUCACUCUUCAAAAAGACGUUCACCACCUUCAAAGCUUUACGACGAAAGCGGAGCGGAACGCUCCAAAACACAGGCAACAAACAACUCGUUUAUACAUUCUCCUAAUUCCUCUCCGACGGGCCUCGAUGUCUUUCUUCAGCAACAGACUGUUGGGGAUCACGGCUUCAACGUUGCAGUUUUAAGACUCAGCCGUCUCCCCUCCCCGCUCCUCCGUAUCUCUGUGAUAAACGCCGGAGCAAAUUCAAAGCCAAACAAACACGGAUUCAAAGAAAGAUUUUUGUGGCAACUUAAGGAAAGCGCAUGUUCGUGACAACGUGUCGCCGGGGAGUUUGUUCAGUCGGUGCUCGCUCAGAUAGACCCUGGCUGCUCAUCCUGAGCAGGGAAGUGCAUUUGCUUGAUUAUCAUUAAAAAAAGAGAGAUGAUGUCUUCAGAAGUCAGAGGGGAUAUUUAUCAGCCUCGCAGUUGGAGACGUGAUGGCGUGUCUCUUCUAAUAGAACAGCCUCAAGGCUCUGGGCCUGUGUGCGCAGGUUAUGAUCCCAUGAGAAGUGAAUAAGUAAAGCGCUGACUGAUCACAUGUAUUUACUUCAUGCUUGCCUUUUGUCCUGUAAUGAAUAUCAAUGAAUGAAAUGGCGAAUGUGGAUGGGUAACGUAUGCUAUUAGAUGGCAUACUUAUUCAAAUGAAUAUUAUUGCAACGUAAAGUGGUGCAGACUAUAUGACACAACAGAUAAGGCUUUUUAGCAUUUACAUUUACCAUUACAAACCAUAGUUCAUAACAAAAUAAAACAGUAAAUUCAUAAUAAAUUACUGAAGGAUCUCUUUCAGCAAGCUGAAAAAAGCUGCUUUGCUGGUUUGAACUGGUCUUACAGCCUGCAGUAAAACAGACCAGGCUGGUUUAAAGUUUCUUAAAGCAGGGUUUGUUGAAACCUUUUCAACAUUUGCCUGUUUGAAAUCCAUUUUACUUCAGUAACUGACAUAUUUAUGAGUAAAAAUCAUAUUCACUGAGAACAAAUUUUAUUGUGUGGGAUUUGUGACGUGAGCUAAAACAGAAAGUCAUUUAAACAAAUGACUACAUUUGGAAAAUGUUUGAAAUUUUGGAUUUAAUAUAUACUGAUGAAUCAUACACAAUGAAACCAGGAAAGUUUUAAUAAUAAAUACGGAUACCAUGGUAAUUUUUCUUUAUCAUGGUAAAGGAAUAGUUUGGGUCUAAAUUUAAGAUCACAUGUUUGUGAAUAAGAAAUGAAUUUAUAAUUAUGUAAUCAAAGUUAGGAAGAUUUACAGCGAUUCCUUUUUUAUUACUAGCUGUGUUCUCUUGCAGACUAAACUGUGAAAGCUCCGUAAAUCACUCUAUUUUUAUAGGUGCAUAUAUUUAUUUUAUUUCCACGACAUACUUUUACUACUUCUUGCUCAAACUUCAUACAAAACAAAAGGAAAAACAACAUGACCUGUUAUCAGUUUUUAUUCAAAAUCCCAUACCUGUCUGAAAGCAAAUGUUCAGACAAGAAAGAGAAGCUCACAAAGACGGAGAGGAGGGAGCGCCGCAGGAAAGUUCCACAUGCAAUCUUUUUUGUUUGUUUGCGAGUGUAAACGCAGUUGUGAUGAAAUAUUGAUGCUCCCUUCCAAACUGUCUUGUAAGUCGUCUCCGUUCUUUCAGGCUUUCCAUCUGUAGCACCUGAGGAAGAGGACGGGAAUGCCGGGCUGUCAGGAGAGAUGAGCUCACGCUCUCAGAGGCAGGCUGUCAAAUGCGACACAUCCUCUUCAAGAGCAGACACAAGAGCAAACUUCCGCUAUACUCCUCGAUCUUUGUCUCUUUCUCUAUCUGUUACGUUAUCUUUCUUUCUUUAUCUGUUCUUCUCCUUUACACUUUCUAUUUGAAAUGUAGGACAGUAGCUAUGGCGGACUUGUGCAUCAUGACCUAUGGAAUCAGAGGUGUCCUUCAUUUGUAGGACAGACAUUCAGGACAGAAGAAAGAAAGAAAGACAUAUGGGUUUAGAACAAUAUAAUGGACAAAAGAAUCAAAAUGAUCCAAUUCCUUCCUAAUUCAUGGAAAUGGAAAGGGGGAGGAGGGUUCCUGUCAGGAAGGAGACAUGGAGCGCUGCUCCACUCAGCCAUCUAUAAAAGACUGGCACUGAAAUCAGCAGCAUUUGCAUAUGAGGGUGGUGUAUGAAGCUGUGUUUGCCUCCGGCAGAUCCCCCUGGCAGUCUCUGAGAGCUGCCAUCUUCUUCUGCCAGCCCUCCAUUAGGCCUGUAAGGUGUGUCAGUCAGCUCUCGUACACAGGGGCUUAUGGGAAGACUGCGGGGAAGUGAGGAGUGAACGGUAACUUGUAGCACGCACACACACGACUCACCCACACAUGCCAGCGUGUGUCAAAUUAGGACAAGCAGGGGACAAUUAAACUCUCUGUCUCUUACACACUCCCUCACACAAACACAUAUACACAAAGUUGGCUGUGGAUGCAGUUGUCUCAGACCUCUUCCUCUUGUCUUCUCGUCUCUUUCUCCAGAUGAGUGUAUGUACUGCUGCAACUCUACAGUAACACACUGUCCUAACCAGGCACGAUCAGCCGCGCUUCUAGACAGUUUACAGUGGGUGGCCGCAGUGAAAAGUGUGUGAUGUGUCAAACUUGGUUUAUAAAAUAUUGCACUGAAAGCAUAUGUCAACAAUAAGAGUGCAGUAUAGAUGCUUAUAUGCAUAAAAUAUGCAUUCUGCAGAAUUUAGUUUUUUUUUUUUAAGUGACUUACAUUGUAUUCAAGUACAGAGCGCCGCACAUGGCAUACAGGAGAAAAAAAUAGUAGGCUAAAUCG